rnacentral:rRNA from 1 species
CCUACGGGAGGCAGCAGUGAGGAAUAUUGGUCAAUGGGCGCGACCCUGAACCAGCCAAGUCGCGUGAGGGAAGACGGUUCUAUGGAUUGUAAACCCCUUUUGUCGGGGAGCAAAAGAAGCCUCGCGUGGCGUUCCGAGAGUACCCGAAGAAUAAGCAUCGGCUAACUCCGUGUCAGCAGCCGCGGUAAUACGGAGGAUGCGAGCGUUAUCCGGAUUUUUUGGGGUAAAAGGGUGCGCAGGCGGAAGGACAAGUCAGCGGUAAAAUUGAGGGGCUCAACCUCUUCGAGCCGUUGAAACUGGUUUUCUUGAGUGAGCGAGAAGGAUGCGGAAUGCGUGGUGUAGCGGUGAAAUGCAUAGAUAUCACGAGGAACUCCGAUUGCGAAGGCGGCAUACCGGCGCUCAACUGACGCUGAGGCACGAAAGUGUGGGGAUCGAACAGGAUUAGAUACCCGUGUAGUC